GCUCAAUUCACUACCAGGUUCUGUAGCUGCAUCUCUCUGUGUGUGCUCGGGUGGGGUGGGGACAGAGGUCAUCACUGCGGCAGUGUGGAGCACCCACCCCCAGAAGAGCAAGGCCAAGCAUGCGUGGUGAACUUGGCCUCGAGAAUGGAGACACACUGGGAAAGCGAGGGUUAACUUUUCCAGGCCUGGGACAGCCCGCCUCCUUGUGGAAGAGACCCUGGGCUGGCAGGGUGGGACCAUCUUUGUUCAGCCCCCUGGGUCUAGACAAAGUGGGUCAUUUGGGAUACCUCUGAAUGCCUGGCGUGUUCCACUCAGGUCACUCUGGCUGCUGUGAGGAAACUAAAUUGAAGGGGACAAGACUGGACGGCGAGGGACCAGCUGGGAAGCUCUUGAGAAAUGAGAGGCGAGAACAGGAUGUUGGGAAUUACGAUCGCCUGACUGCACGUUGGCAACCCCCGGGGAGAUUUUAAAAGAUGCUGCUGCCAUGACCUCG
rnacentral:lncRNA from 1 species